GGCUCAGGAUGAACGCUAGCGGCAGGCCUAACACAUGCAAGUCGAGGGGUAGCAGGAUUAAGCUUGCUUAAUUGCUGACGACCGGCGCACGGGUGCGUAACGCGUAUGCAACCUACCUUAUACUGGGGUAUAGCCCGGAGAAAUUCGGAUUAAUCCCCCAUAGUACUGUUUUACCGCAUGGUAAGACAGUUAAAGCAUUGCGGUAUAAGAUGGGCAUGCGUCCUAUUAGCUAGAUGGUGAGGUAACGGCUCACCAUGGCUACGAUAGGUAGGGGGCCUGAGAGGGUGGUCCCCCACACUGGUACUGAGACACGGACCAGACUCCUACGGGAGGCAGCAGUGAGGAAUAUUGGUCAAUGGGCGCAAGCCUGAACCAGCCAUGCCGCGUGCAGGAAGAAUGCCCUAUGGGUUGUAAACUGCUUUUAUUUGGGAAUAAACCUCUUUACGUGUAGAGAGCUGAAGGUACCAAAUGAAUAAGCACCGGCUAACUCCGUG
rnacentral:rRNA from 1 species